UACGUAGGGUGCAAGCGUUGUCCGGAAUUAUUGGGCGUAAAGAGCUCGUAGGCGGUCUGUCGCGUCUGCUGUGAAAACUCAGGGCUUAACCCUGAGCUUGCAGUGGGUACGGGCAGACUAGAGUGCGGUAGGGGAGACUGGAAUUCCUGGUGUAGCGGUGAAAUGCGCAGAUAUCAGGAGGAACACCGGUGGCGAAGGCGGUUCUCUGGGCAUGACCUGACGCUGAGGAGCGAAAGCGUGGGGAGCGAACAGG
rnacentral:rRNA from 1 species